UACAGAGGUCUCAAGCGUUGUUCGGAUUCAUUGGGCGUAAAGGGUGCGUAGGUGGCGGGGUAAGUCAGGUGUGAAAUCUCGGAGCUCAACUCCGAAACUGCACUUGAUACUGCCUUGCUCGAGUACUGGAGAGGAGAUUGGAAUUUACGGUGUAGCAGUGAAAUGCGUAGAUAUCGUAAGGGAAGACCAGUGGCGAAGGCGAAUCUCUGGACAGUUACUGACACUGAGGCACGAAAGGCCAGGGGAGCAAACGGG
rnacentral:rRNA from 1 species